AUUGAACGCUGGCGGCAGGCCUAACACAUGCAAGUCGAACGAGUGGCGGACGGGUGAGUAAUGUCUGGGCAACUGCCUGAUGGAGGGGGCUAACUACUGGAAACGGUAGCUAAUACCGCAUACCAUCGGAUGUGCCCAUAUGGGAUUAGCUAGUCGGGGGGGUAAAGGCUCACAUAGGCGACGAUCCCUAGCUGGGCUGAGAGGAUGACCAGCCACACUGGAACUGAGACACGGACCAGAGUCCGACGGGUGUAAGCAGGGGGGAAUAUUGCACAAUGGGCGAAAGCCUGAUGCAGCAAUGCCGCGUGUAUGAAGAAGGCCUGCGGGUUGUAAAGUACUUUCAGUGGGGAGGCGUUACCCGCAGAAGAAGCACCGGCUAACUCCGUGCCAGCAGCCGCGGUAAUAC
rnacentral:rRNA from 1 species